rnacentral:rRNA from 1 species
UACGAAGGGGGCGAGCGUUGUUCGGAAUUACUGGGCGUAAAGGGCGCGUAGGCGGCCGAGCAAGUUAGAUGUGAAAGUCCUGGGCUUAACCUGGGGACUGCAUUUGAUACUGCUUGGCUUGAAUGCAGGAGAGGAUAGCGGAAUUCCCAGUGUAGAGGUUAAAUUCGUAGAUAUUGGGAAGAACACCGGUGGCGAAGGCGGCUAUCUGGACUGUGAUUGACGCUGAGGCGCGAAAGCGUGGGGAGCAAACAGG